AGCGAACGCUGGCGGCAGGCUUAACACAUGCAAGUCGAGCGGGCGUAGCAAUACGUCAGCGGCAGACGGGUGAGUAACGCGUGGGAACAUACCUUUUGGUUCGGAACAACACAGGGAAACGUUAGUGCUAAUACCGGAUAAGCCCUUACGGGAAGAUUAUCGCCGAAGAUUGGCCCGCGUCUGAUUAGCUAGUUGGUGAGGUAACGGCUCACCAAGGCGACGAUCAGUAGCNGGUCUGAGAGGAUGAUCAGCCACAUUGGGACUGAGACACGGCCCAAACUCCUACGGGA
rnacentral:rRNA from 1 species